rnacentral:rRNA from 1 species
UUGGAGGGCAAGUCUGGUGCCAGCAGCCGCGGUAAUUCCAGCUCCAAUAGCGUAUAUUAAAGUUGUUGCAGUUAAAAAGCUCGUAGUUGAAUUUCGGAAUCUGUCCGUUGGUCGGGCUUUAUUGUCCGUACUGAUGUGAUGGGUUCUUACCUUCUGAAUAACCAACAUGUCAUUAAUUUGGUGUGUUGGGGAAGCAGGACUAUUACCUUGAAAAAAUUAGAGUGCUCAAAGCAGGCUAGUGCCUGAAUACAUUAGCAUGGAAUAAUAAAAUAGGACGGCAUGGUUCUAUUUUGUUGGUUUCUAGGAUCACCGUAAUGAUUAAUAGGGAUAGUUGGGGGCAUUAGUAUUCAAUUGUCAGAGGUGAAAUUCCUGGAUUUAUUGAAGACUAACUUCUGCGAAAGCAUUUGCCAAGGAUGUUUUCAUUAAUCAAGAACGAAAGUUAGGGGAUCGAAGACGAUCAGAUACCGUCGUAGUCUUAACCAUAAACUAUGCCGACUAGGGAUCGGACGAUGUUAAUUUUUUAAUGACUCGUUCGGCGCCUUACGGGAAAC